ncrna:unclassified sequences L31-Firmicutes ribosomal protein leader
CUCUGUUCGUAAUAAAAGCGUUCAGGGCAGAAGGAG